UGGGGAAUUUUCCGCAAUGGGCGAAGGCCUGACGGAGCAAUGCCGCGUGGAGGUGGAAGGCCUACGGGUCGUCAACUUCUUUUCUCGGAGAAGAAACAAUGACGGUAUCUGAGGAAUAAGCAUCGGCUAACUCUGUGCCAG
rnacentral:rRNA from 1 species